rnacentral:lncRNA from 1 species
AUCAUCCUGCGCUUGAUGUCAUUGUGGAAGUCUUUCAGAGGCAAUGCUGCGCCCUGACGACGCGCAAGGAGGGCCUGCAGGUCACAAAGUGCUAGCAUUGGCAUGACAAUAUGAGCUCUCUGACAACUGCUCAACAUCAGAGGCCUAUGUUCAUGAUUUUUAUUGUACCACUGCAAUAAUGUAGAGCUGCACAUCCCAUUAUGGCGAGAGUGAAAAGCUGAACCUGAUCGCGGUCGACGAAUACGUUUGCGUGACUAUUAUAAUGUUCCCUGGUCUUUCUUACAGCAUCAGCAUCCAUCACCAGCCUAGAGGAUUAGAAAAAAAAAUCCUUUUAUUGAUAUAUCAUGACCUGGCAUGUAGUGCAGGAAGUCGAUCGAUGGAUGAUCGAAGCAUGACCACGGUUACCAAAGACCUCUGACAUGCCUGCACUCCUAACUAUCUGUGCACAUGCGCAGAAGGUCCGACUUCCCUGAUCAACAGAAGUACUCAGGAUGUCUAGUGUGAUGUGAAAUUUUCAAGG